rnacentral:rRNA from 2 species
AACAAAGAAUAUCCGAACAGAAGAAGGUAAAUUGGGAGCUUAAGUUAUUUUAAGCAGCAAGUCAAGUUAUUUUGAUGGCUACCCUUGCUUGCGUUAAUUAAAGCGGCCAAGUAUGCCAUAGCAAACAAAAUGUCUGCCACUAUUUAGGUCAACAGGAUGUUGAAUUGUUGGCGUUUCACGGAUAGGAGACAGUUCGGUCCCUAUCCGUCGCGGGCGCAGGAAAUUUGAGAGGAGCUGUCCUUAGUACGAGAGGACCGGGAUGGACGUUCCGCUGGUGUACCAGUUGUGCCGCCAGGCGCAUCGCUGGGUAGCUAUGAACGGCGGGGAUAAACGCUGAAAGCAUCUAAGUGUGAAGCCCCCCUCGAGAUGAGAUUUCCCAUUCCUAUAUGGAAGUAAGACCCCUGAGAGAUGAUCAGGUAGAUAGGCUGGAAGUGGAAGUGCAGCGAUGCAUGGAGCGGACCAGUACUAAUCGGUCGAGGACUUAACCAA